AUGCCGAGGUUGCGUCGCCUGCGGCCGCGCAGGGUCGUCCAAGACCAAGACGACCGCCUCAGCGCCCUCCCCGAAGAGCUGAUCCGCCUCAUACUGAGCAGGCUGGACACCCGCAGCGCGCUCUCCACCGCCGUCCUCGCCAGGCGCUGGGCACGCCUCCCUCGCGAUCUUCCGGCGUACGACUUGAGG
rnacentral:rRNA from 1 species